rnacentral:rRNA from 1 species
AUUGAACGCUGGCGGCAUGCUUUACACAUGCAAGUCGAACGGCAGCGCGGGCUUCGGCCUGGCGGCGAGUGGCGAACGGGUGAGUAAUGCAUCGGAACGUGCCCAGUAGUGGGGGAUAGCCCGGCGAAAGCCGGAUUAAUACCGCAUACGACCUGAGGGGGAAAGGGGGGGACCGAAAGGCCUCGCGCUAUUGGAGCGGCCGAUGUCGGAUUAGCUAGUUGGUGGGGUAAAGGCUUACCAAGGCGACGAUCCGUAGCUGGUCUGAGAGGACGACCAGCCACACUGGGACUGAGACACGGCCCAGACUCCUACGGGAGGCAGCAGUGGGGAAUUUUGGACAAUGGGGGCAACCCUGAUCCAGCCAUGCCGCGUGCGGGAAGAAGGCCUUCGGGUUGUAAACCGCUUUUGUUCGGGAAGAAAUCCUCUGGGCUAAUACCCCGGGGGGAUGACGGUACCGGAAGAAUAAGCACCGGCUAACUACGUG